rnacentral:rRNA from 1 species
UACGUAGGCGGAAAAUUAAGUCAGUAGUGAAAUCCUGCAGCUUAACUGUAGAACUGUUAUUGAUUCUGGUUUUCUUGAAUAUAGUUGAAGUAGGCGGAAUGUGUAAUGUAGCGGUGAAAUGCUUAGAUAUUACACAGAACACCGAUUGCGAAGGCAGCUUACUAAGCUAUGAUUGACGCUGAGGUACGAAAGCGUGGGGAGCGAACAGGAUUAGAUACCCUGGUAGUCC